GAGGAUUUGAGAAGAGGUUGCAGAUGAUCAAGGAGCGACACGUGCAGGGAUGGCUUGAAAAGGGUGAUUAGCUUCAGGUUCCAGGUGGGACCUAGUGGUAACUGAGUUGCAGGUAUUCCAUGACAGAGCUCCUUCUGCCUGGGCUGCUUUUUGGGGUGAUUGGGUUUGGGUGCUGGGCGGGGCCGAAUGGUAUAUGAGCCCCAGGCAUGCUAUCAGAGAGCUCCUUCUGCCUGGGCUGCUCCUUGAGCAGUAGGUAAACAUUAGGAGGAACCGGUCAAAGGUAACAGCGCUUUCUGGAACCGUCAAGUUCUUGUUCGGCAACGUAGUGACUGGUUUGAUCUACUUCACAGAUGGAGAGGCAAGUGGACUGCUCUCUUUGAAAUAAUAAAAUUGAAAACAUAAAGUUUGUCAAAGAUGGCAGUGCAUGUUUGCAGUCUGUUUAUUGCUUUUGCCAGUGGUAGAUAACAUUUAUAAGGAAUCGGUCAAAGGAAAGAGCGCCUUCUGGAACUGUGAAGCUCUGUGUUGGCAACUCGGUGACUGGCUGGACCUACUGUCCAUCUCCAGAGGGAAGCGGACUGCUGUUUUGAAAUUAAAAAAUACUAAU